rnacentral:rRNA from 1 species
UACGGAGGGUGCAAGCGUUGUCCGGAUUUAUUGGGUUUAAAGGGUGCGUAGGCGGCUUUAUAAGUCAGCGUUGAAAUAUGGCAGCUUAACUGUCAGACUGGCAUUGAUACUGUAGAGCUUGAGUGAAGUCGAGGUUGGCGGAAUUGACGGUGUAGCGGUGAAAUGCAUAGAUAUCGUCAAGAACACCUAUUGCGAAGGCAGCUAACUAGACUUUAACUGACGCUGAGGCACGAAAGCGUGGGGAUCAAACAGG